rnacentral:lncRNA from 1 species
CUUGCCAUGACCUAGCACAUUCAUGAAGAAUUGGAGACAUCUAUGAAAGAUGGGCCUAGACUCUUUCUCUUGGGCCAUCUUAAGUCAUUAUGAAGAUUUAGUAGAGUUAGAAUAAAUUUGGGCCUUGUAUUUUGGGCCAAGUAGUCUAGAUUUUAUUUGGGCUUUGUAGUCUAGCCACCUUCCUCCAAGAGUUGGCCCAACCUCUCUU